AACGAACGCUGGCGGCAGGCUUAACACAUGCAAGUCGAACGAUAAGCUCUCUUCGGAGAGUGGACAGUGGCAGACGGGUGAGUAACGCGUAGCAACCUACCUUUCAGUACGGAAUAACGUCGAGAAAUUGUCGCUAAUACCGUAUACGUCCUCCGGGAGAAAGAUUCAUCGCUGAAAGAUGGGGCUGCGUUAGAUUAGCUAGUUGGUGAGGUAACUGCUCACCAAGGCGACGAUCUAUAGCGGGUCUGAGAGGAUGAUCCGCCACACUGGGACUGAGACACGGCCCAGACUCCUACGGGAGGCAGCAGUGGGGAAUCUUGGACAAUGGGCGAAAGCCUGAUCCAGCCAUGCCGCGUGAAUGAUGAAGGCCUUAGGGUUGUAAAAUUCUUUCGCUAGGGAAGAUAAUGACGGUACCUAGUAAAGAAGCCCCGGCUAACUCCG
rnacentral:rRNA from 1 species